rnacentral:lncRNA from 1 species
GUAAAGGAAAUACGUGAACAUUUGUUGAUUAUUAAUAUGGUUUGGCUGUGUCCCCACCAAAUCUCAACUUAAAUUGUAUCUCCCAGAAUUCCCACAUGUCACAGGAGGGACCCAGGUGGAGGUAAUUGAAUCGUGGUCGGGCGGGGGGGAAGGGGGUGGUCUUGCCGUGCUGUUCUCGUGAUAGUGAGUACCUCUCACGAGAUCUGAUGAGUUUAUCAGGAGUUUCCGCUUUUGCUUCUUCCUCAUCGUCUCUUGCCGCUGCCAUGAAAGGAGUGCUUUUUGCCUCCCACCAUGAUUCUGAGGCCUCCCCAGCCAUGUAGAAUUAGCCAGCCUGUUUUUGAUGAAGAGCAACUGUACUGGAGAGAAAGCCUGUAUUCAUAUUCAUCGUCAUCAGGCAAAUCGAGGAGCUGACUUGCUUAGGAUCACUUUACAGAAUUCUUUCUCAAGAGGAUUUAGACUCCUUUUCUAUUGAUAGGGCAUAAGAAUUGACUCAGACCUAGAAACUGGCUGGGACCAUCUCAUAAUGUUUGUGUACAUUCCUGUUGUCUUCUACCUCCCAUCCACCGUGUCUCUCUACUGCCUAUAACCAGCCUACAUAAGGCCCUGAACAGACUGGAUGAUGCCCACCCACACGGAUGAAGGGCGGAUGUUGUUUACUCAGUCUGCUGAUUCCAACGCUAAUCUUUUCCAGAAACACCAUCACAGACACACCGAGAAAUAAUGCUUUAUCACCUAUGUGGGCAUUCUUGAGCCCAAUCAAGUUGCCACAUGAAAUUUACCAUCACACCUACCUGUCCACCUCUGCCCACACCUACUUUAAGUUUAACCCAAUAAUAAAUGAGACUUAAUCUCAUUUUUAGAGCCCUCCAAUGAAAAAUUUGUUAUUGUACUUCAUAAGACUUUUUGAUAUUUAACAGGUCUCAAGAAAGAUUUUUUUUGGCAAAAGCCAUACUUACACAAAGAAGACAUGGGUUUUAGACUGACUUUGGCCCUUUCUACCUGUAGGGUCACAUACUUUCACAAUAUGGACAAAAUGAUGCUACUGUGCCUUUCCCACAGGAUUGCUGUAUAAAUCAUUUGUGAAUUCUAAGAUUAUUGAGAUGAUUAUGCUUAUGAAUAUCUUAUUAUAUAAUAACUUUUCCCAUUUUAAAAAGAAUUGCAUUUAUAGACAUAAAUGACUAAGGUGGCUUUUAAAAUUCCCGAAGAAAAUCUUUUUAGAUAUAUACCAUUCUAAUGACUUGUAUUUAUUAGACAAGUCUGGAUUUAAAAAUGGGAGUUUAUAGUCAUUUAAGCCAACUAAUAAUAAUAUCUAAGGAGCCUGGAUGAGUAAAGACUCUUCAAUUCACAGUCAAAUGCCAAGUGAGGCUUAUAUUUUCGUUAGGAAAGUUUCGCCAGGGUGAUUGUUUUAAUUACUUUUAUUGGAAUAACAGUAGCUAAUAAAGCAAUCCAGAUUGUUACCAAGCUCAGUAGGAGAGAAAAUAAUAGGAUGUCUUCACAUCUUAUGACUAGAAAUCAUGUCCUCAGAUACUUUGUUUCUUCCUCUUUCAUUGUGGUGUGAAAAGUAGAAAGAAAGCUCCCCUCUGCAGGGGAAGUUUUAUAGAGAUGGUAACCUGGUUAUACUCUGUCUUUUAGGAAUCCUUGCAGAGUUGGGAAUAGCACAUUUCUCACUAUAUAUAUAUAUAUAUAUAUAUAUAUAUAUAUAUAUAUAAUAUAUAUAUGGUAAUUUUUGUGUGGAUUUAUAUUACCUUUGAUCCCCAGACAUUGUUUGAAAAACUUGAGGAAGGAGGAAAAAGAAUCAGAUGGUGACGGAACUCAUGUGGCUGACUGAG